rfam:Corchorus olitorius cultivar O-4 contig15877, whole genome shotgun sequence.
UAUAUACUCCCUCCAUUCCAAAAUAAUUGUCGUAAUUGUCGUUUUUUGAAUGAAUAUGUUCAUGAAUAAGACCAUAUUCAUCCCAAAAACGACAGUUAUUUUGGAACGGAGGGAGUAUAUA